CAAGCCAAUCUCUCCCUCUCUCAUGGCCGCGACGGAGAGCCUCCUCAAAUCCGGCGAGGUCUCCGCCAUGAUCCGCCAAGGCUUCAUCACUUCCCCCAACUCCUCCUCCGCCACCGCCGCUCGGCUGUCCCCUAGAUUUUCCUCCCUCUCCUCUCCUCCCUCUCCUCUCCUCUCCCCCAAACCGUCCACCCUCUUCGAGAUGAUCUCCCAGGAGGACUUCUCCCGCCGUGGGCCGCCGCCUCCGCCCUCUGACGACCAGAAACGCCGCCGGCUGGAGGAGAUGAUCUCCAAGAUUCUCUCCACGGAGGACCCGAGCUGGGUCCCCGGGGACGUGGAGCUCUCCGUGAGCUCCGACGAUGGCUUCCGGUUCUCCAUGGAUGUGCACCGCCAGGUGCUCGCCCGCCGGAGCCGGUUCUUCGCGGAGAAGUUGGAGGGGAUCAGCCGGGUCCCCGGGUCCCCCGUGGUGGUGGAGAUCUGCGAAUGCGAUGACGUCGAGGUUUAUGUGCAGGCGGUGGGGAUGAUGUACUGCCGGGAUCUCAGACGAAGGCUCGCCGGAGAGGCGGUCGGGAAGGUUCUUGGAUUGCUCAAGGUUUCGAUGGAUAUUAUGUUUGAUUCUGGAGUCAGAGCAUGCAUGGAUUAUUUGGAAGUUAUUCCUUGGUCUGAAGAUGAUGAGGAGAAGGUGAUUUCUGUUCUCAGCCAGCUUCAGCUCCAUGAGCCACUGAACAGGGUUCUGCAGAGAGUUUCAGUGGAACCAUCUACUUCUUCAGGUGCUGAUGCUAUCUUCUUCCGGGUUCUGGCUGGUGUCCUGCAAGCCAAGGAUGAGAAAGCUCGGCGAGAAAUAAAAGCAUUAGUAUCUGGAUUGCUUAGGGAGGACAGGGAUCAGAGCAAGAACCAUGGCAACAAGAUUGAUAUCCCGAAGGAAACCCUUUACCACUUCUGCCGGAAAUGUCUCAACUCUCUUCAUCUGUGUUUGUCUGAGGCGGCAAAUGUUGAUGAAGGGCGACGAGACCGGAAGGCUAUUAUGGGCGAGGUAGCUCGAGAAGCUGAUAACAUUCAAUGGCUUGUUGAGAUUCUGAUAAACAAGAGGAUGUGCGAUGAGUUUGUUACUCUGUGGGCUGACCAGUCGGAGCUCGCUAGAUGUCACUCCAAGAUCCCAUGUAUGUAUAGAUAUGAGAUUAGUAGGAUUACUGCUCAGCUGUGCGUUGCAAUUGGCAGAGGCCAAAUCUUGGUAUCCAAGGAUGCAAGGAUUUCUCUGCUGCGGACUUGGUUGGAAGCUCUCUAUGAAGACUUUGGUUGGAUGAAGAGCGCAUGCAGGAUUUUUGAUAAAAAUGUGGUGGAGGAUGGGCUAUGUCGAAUGAUUCUAACGUUGCCAAUGGCGCAGCAACAAACAAUCUUGUUGAAGUGGUUUGAUUAUUUUCUGAAUAAAGGUGAUGAUUGUCCCAACAUACAGAGAGCGUUUGAGGUCUGGUGGAGGAGAGCAUUUGUUAGGCAGUAUGCAGGAACUCAGGAUCACUCAGGUUUGCAGAUUGUUGUGUAUGAUAAACACACAUGAAGUUGCACUCUGCACUAUCACAUGUAUUGAUGCAGCGAUGUACAUAGAUGCGAUCUAGAGGGAAAUCUUUUAACAGGCAAGAAAAUUAAGGAUCAAGUUUCAUAAAGAACAGAUGUUACGAUGACACCCAGCUGGUUUGGUUAUUGCUUUUGUUGUUGAGUUCUUGUGUAUUUGAUGAUCACCCAUUGAUAUCAUUAUUGUGGUGGAGGAAAGUAUAGGGAGUCAACUUACCAUAUUAUUCAUGCUGCUCUAAUUAAAUGAAGACAAAGCAUUUUCUGAUAAAAGUAUCGAUUCUUCUGAAACUCAUUGCCAAGGAAAUCAGUGGGUAAUUACAUCACUCAAACAAAGAUGACUCAAAAGAGCAGCAAGGGUUACAGGAUCAAACAAGAAAUUAUCCGCUUGUGUAAUGAAAAACAGCAUUAUUCUGAAUUGUAAGCUGGGACUAGAGCUCAAGUUUAUCUGAACUCUAGUUACUUGCAUUAUGUUUCUUCUUCUGGUGGUAAUCACUUGCAGACUGUGGUGUACACCCAGGGUAUAAGCUAUCUUUCCAGUAUCAGUCACAAUCCUUAUAUUUGCUGUUCUGUGACAGCGAUGUUAGUGCCUGCUAUGAGCCACAAGGGGGGUUUACUUGGCAAAAUUGCUUGCGAUCUCUUCUUCUUUGGUUCAACUUUAGUUUCACUAAUGUCUUCUCAGAAUUUCAACCAUUGUUGUAUACUCCAGGAAGUACUGGAUGUGGUCUGAGUCCCUGGUUGGAGGGUUUUUUCCAGGAUAUUUUCUGUUAUGGUUCGUAGGGGAUAUGGUCUAUAGACUUAAAAUCAUUUGAUAGGUUGGCAUGUACAUGAACUCUCACAUUUGCUUCUGGUUGUUUUGGUUGCAAGUUGUAGCUCUUGUUCCAAUGCACCACCCCAAUACUGCACAUCUGAUCUGCAAGUUGUAGUUCUUGUUCCAAUACCUUCUCAAAGGGCUUGCAGGUUUUCUUAUGCCUAAGCCUGUGUUGUACACAGCCGGUGGCAACUUAUGGGGUUCUCCGUUUAUUUCAUAUGGAUUUCUGUACCUGCUCUGGAGUUAAUAUAUCUUAUACAAGUUCUUUGGCUGCUUUUCUGUCACGUUAUGAUCAUACUGUCUUAUUUUUAAGCAGGAUCAUGACUUAUUGUAAAUUACUUCUGAGCACUUUAUCGGUGUAUCAAAUUUACUCAUCUUUCUUUGUUGGGACCUAGUAUCUUGUCUUAGGUUGCAUUUUGGCAUUGAUGGAUGUUGUAACUGCUGCUAUUAUCUUGUUAAUGAAGCAGUGUGCCUUUUUACCAAAAAAAAAAAAGAAAAGAAAAAGAAAACCAAGACCAAGCAACUCAGUCAUUAAUCUUAAGCACAAUGGUUAUAACUAUUCAAAAAUAAUUUGUUUUACUUGAGUUUUUCUUCACAAAAAUUGCACUAGAAAAUUGAUAUUUAUAAUUAGAUACUUUUCCCUUGCUGCCCACCUCCUUGAAGUCAGAUAUUGGCCUUGAAUUGAGAUGGAUGAACACCACCAAAAGUUCCGAAAAGAGAGAAACUAUUAUACAAAGGUACGGGGGUAUAGAUUUUAUCAUCUAUUAUUCCCCCAAUCUUCUUCACCAAAAAACAAAAAAAUCACCGAUCUAACCAGCAUAUAUGUGUUUCUUGACCGGCCACAAAAAAUUUGAUUUUGUUGCCGGAACUCAGAUCAGGGUCUCUCGGGUGAGAGCCGAGUAUCUUAACCAAUUCUAGACUACAAGGGAUGGCUACCUACUUGUGACUUUGGAUUCCAUAUGGCAACAACAGAAAGCACUGCCAGAGUUUCAGAUUUUUGCGAACAUGCAUGAUCUUGCAUCAUGUUCCUUCUAAAAACAAUUAGGUUACAACUCAGGGUUGCAGAUAAAUGCUCUCCAUUAAAUAUUGCCCAUGUUCCUCAGCCUCCUAACUCUUUCCAACUCCAAUAUGAAAGAGUUGCUCUGGACCACUUGGUCUUAAAUCACAAGUUGAAUUUCUUGCUGAUAAACACCUGGGGUAGCCUUAGCAGAGCAAAUGAGGCAUGGAGGCUGGUGUCAGCCUCCUUCCAUUGUCCAUUGGUACUGACCUUCAUCACCAAUUAGCUAGGAAAUUGGCCUAACUUAAGGCAUCAAAACAUUGAGACAUCUUGUAAUUUUUCCAUUUACCUAAAUUAGCACCGUGAUGUCUACGAUUCCAAAGAAAAUCUCCCCUGUAAGCUUGCAACUUUGCUCCUAAUGAAAUAACCUGUUGAGUGAGCAGCAGACCGGUCCUAGAGCUCUUUGUUUGAAGCUCUAAGGCAGCAUGCAUUCUUCCUUUCUUAGGUUCUGUCAUCACUAAACUGAUAUUAUCACAAUGGAUUCCAAACCAAAUGCAGAAUGGCCACAAAAGAGGAAUAAAAGGAAAUCAUAUUUCAUAUGACGUGCGCACCAAAAGGCUGAAAAAUGAAAG